CUCCAGACUUUUCCUGCUGUUAUUUACACACAGAAAUUCAGUGUUGGCAACCUCCCAGGCUUGGAAGUAUACAAAGAUCAACCAUCAAAGAACAUCCUGACUUAAUUUUGACAUAUUCCACAUUUUGCAACACUAGUGCCUGUGAGUGAUUAUCCAAGGACCCAGCUGAAGGAGCACAGACAGUCAGGAUUUAAUGGAUGGCUAAGUCUCAAACACCAAUAACCAUUCAAAUGGGAAAUACAAAGGUAGGGCAGCAUCUUUCUGGUGCCAGUUUUGCUGUUCAGGUCCACGGUGGCCACACAAUCCCUAGUGUGGAUGCAGAAGUGGGGUCGUGGAGCAGGUAAGACCAAGCCAGGUAUUUUUUCAAGAAAGGGGGAUUGAGACCACCAAGGACCCCAAAGCAGCCCAUGACACCUUCUGGAGCUCUCUCAGCAGGUGCUGCAUGCCCCAGUCUUGAUCAGAAAUGAAGAAUUCCCUUCCUGGGGAGGGAUCUAGGUGUUCCAAUGCUAAUCUGACUGUACAUAACCUGAGGAACAUUUUUUUUUUUGUUUUAUGGGCCCCCAUCCCCAAAGGAUUCAGACUCUGACCAUUUCUCUGACCAAGGGACAUCAAAAUGCCAACAUUCAAGUCCCAUCACUAAAUCUAUGGGUAGUGCCAUGUUUCCACUAUCUACUCUUACCUUCCCUUUCUUUUCCUUAUGUAUUUUCUUCUUGAUAUUUUUACACUUUUAUUGAAGAGAGUCAAACUGGCCACCAACAUCCUUUCCACUGCAACAAAACUGCUUUAAAAUAAACCUCUCAAAUCUAUACACUGGGCAUUCAGUGUUGUUGCACUCUAAUUACAGAAUCACAGAAUAAUCAGGGUUGGAGUGACCCCUGGAGAUCACCCAGUCCAACUCCUGCCAAGGCAGGGUGACACAGGACACAUCCAGCCACUGCUCCUCACUCUGCUGCUGGCCACCACUGAAGAGAGUCUGGCACCAUCCUCCCACACCCACCGGGGAUACAUUUAUAUGGACCGAUGAGGUCUCUGAGCCCUCUCUUCUCCAGACUAAACAGGCCCAGCUCUCUCAGUCACCCCAAGGCAUUUACUAAAAAGUACAAAUACCGUCAUAUAUUUACUACAAAGAACCGGAGCUCCCCUAGCUGUUGGCGGGGGCUGAGGAGGGCGCGGAGCG